GUCGAGAAUCUUUCACAAUGGGGGCAACCCUGAUGGAGCGACGCCGCGUGGAGGAUAAGGUCUUCGGAUUGUAAACUCCUGUCAUGCGUGAACAAGGUUGCUUGGUUAAUACCUGGGCAAAUUGAUGGUAACGCAAGAGGAAGAGACGACUAACUCUGUGCCAGCAGCCGCGGUAAUACAGAGGUCUCAAGCGUUGUUCGGAAUCACUGGGCGUAAAGGGUGCGUAGGUGGCGUGGUAAGUCAGAUGUGAAAGCCCGGGGCUCAACCUCGGAACUACAUCCGAUACUGCCAUGCUAGAGUACUGGAGAGGUGACUAGAAUUCUCGGUGUAGCAGUGAAAUGCGUAGAUAUCGAGAGGAAUACCAAAGGCGUAGGCAGGUCACUGGACAGUUACUGACACUGAGGCACGAAGGCCAGGGGAGCGAACGGGAUUAGAAACCCGUGUAGUCC
rnacentral:rRNA from 1 species